rnacentral:lncRNA from 1 species
CAGUUCAGUGUGUUAUAGUGUCUCUAGGAGGUGAACUACUGUAACAGUUCAGUGUGUUAUAGUGUCUCUAUGCGGUGAACUACUGUAACAGUUCAGUGUGUUAUAGUGUCUCUAGGAGGUGAACUACUGUAACAGUUCAGUGUGUUCUAGUGUCUCUCUCUAUGUAGUGAACUACUGUAACAGUUCAGUGUGUUCUAGUGUCUCUCUCUAUGUAGUGAACUACUGUAACAGUUCAGUGUGUUAUAGUUUAUCUAGUAGGUGAAAUACUGUAACAGUUCAGUGUGUUACAGUGCCUCUACCCUUUUGGUGAAAUACUGUAACAGUUCAGUGUUUUAUAGUGUCUCUUGGAGGUGAACUACUGUAACAGUUCAGUGUAUUAUACUGUCUCUAGGAGGUGAACUACUGUAACAGUUCAGUGUGUUAUAGUGUAUCUUGGAGGUGAACUACUGUAACAGUUCAGUGUGUUAUAGUGUCUCUAGGAGGUGAACUACUGUAACAGUUCAGUGUGUUAUAGUGUCUCUAGGAGGUGAACUACUGUAACAGUUCAGUGUGUUAUAGU